AGCGAACGCUGGCGGCAGGCCUAACACAUGCAAGUCGAACGGACCCUUCGGGGUUAGUGGCGGACGGGGGAGUAACACGUGGGAACGUGCCUUUAGGUUCGGAAUAGCUCCUGGAAACGGGUGGUAAUGCCGAAUGUGCCCUUCGGGGGAAAGAUUUAUCGCCUUUAGAGCGGCCCGCGUCUGAUUAGCUAGUUGGUGAGGUAACGGCUCACCAAGGCGACGAUCAGUAGCUGGUCUGAGAGGAUGACCAGCCACACUGGGACUGAGACACGGCCCAGACUCCUACGGGAGGCAGCAGUGGGGAAUCUUGCGCAAUGGGCGAAAGCCUGACGCAGCCAUGCCGCGUGAAUGAUGAAGGUCUUAGGAUUGUAAAAUUCUUUCACCGGGGACGAUAAUGACGGUACCCGGAGAAGAAGCCCCGGCUAACUUCGUG
rnacentral:rRNA from 1 species